rnacentral:rRNA from 1 species
AACGUAGGACGCAAGCGUUAUCCGGAUUUACUGGGCGUAAAGCGCGUGCAGGCGGCUUGUUAAGUCGUGCGUGAAAGCUCCCUGGCUCAACCGGGAGAGGUCGUACGAAACUAGCAGGCUAGAGGGCAGCAGAGGAGUGUGGAAUUCCGGGUGUAGUGGUGAAAUGCGUAGAUAUCCGGAGGAACACCAGUGGCGAAGGCGGCACUCUGGGCUGUACCUGACGCUAAGAC